rnacentral:rRNA from 1 species
UACGGAGGGUGCAAGCGUUGUUCGGAAUUACUGGGCGUAAAGCGCCUGUAGGCGGUUUAAGUAGUUGGGUGUGAAAUCCCUGGGCUCAACCCGGGAACUGCGCCCAAAACCAUUAAGCUUGAGUGCCAAAUGGGUACGUGGAAUUCCCAGUGUAGCAGUGAAAUGCGUAGAUAUUGGGAGGAACACCGGUGGUGAAGACGACGUACUGGAUGGUAACUGACGCUGAGAGGCGAAAGCGUGGGUAGCAAACAGG